AUUGAACGCUGGCGGCAGGCUUAACACAUGCAAGUCGAGCGCGCGGCGGACGGGUGAGUAAUGUCUGGGAAACUGCCUGAUGGCGGGGGCUACCUACUGGAAACGGUAGCUAAUACCGCAUACCAUCAAAUGUGCCCAGAUGGGAUUAGCUAGUAGGUGGGGUAAUGGCUCACCUAGGCGACUAUCCCUAGCUGGUCUGAGAGGAUGCACAGACACACGGGAACGGAGACAAGGGCCAGACUCAUACGGGAGGAAGCAGGGGGGAAUAUGGAACAAUGGGCGCAAGCCGGAGGCAGCCAUGCCGCGUGUGUGAAGAAGGCCUUCGGGUGGUAAAGCACUUGCAGCGAGGAGGCGUUACUCGCAGAAGAAGCACCGGCUAACUCCGUGCCAGCAGCCGCGGUAAUUC
rnacentral:rRNA from 1 species